CGAGCACGCGCGUGUGGCAUAUCAAUAAGCGGAGGAAAAGAAACUAACAAGGAUUCCCUUAGUAACGGCGAGUGAAGCGGGAAGAGCUCAAAUUUGAAAUCUUCAAGGUUCUACCUUGACGAAUUGUAGUUUAUAGAAGUGUUUUCUGUUAGUGGAGUGGCAAAAGUUCUUUGGAAUAGGACAUCAUAGAGGGUGAGAAUCCCGUAUUUGGUCAUUCCUCCUAGCGUUGUGAUACACUUUCAACGAGUCGGAUUGUUUGGGAAUGCAGUCCAAAAUGGGUGGUAAAUUUCAUCUAAAGCUAAAUAUUGGCGAGAGACCGAUAGCGAACAAGUACCGUGAGGGAAAGAUGAAAAGAACUUUGAAAAGAGAGUUAAACAGUACGUGAAAUUGUCAAAAGGGAAGCGUUUGACACCAGUGUUGUUUUUCCGAAAAUCAAUUACGAAUGUUUUGUUUUUGAGGAGUUAUGACUUCAUCGGCUUGCUCCUUUCUUUACUGAAACUUUCUUAAUGCACUUUUCGGUUAACAAGUCAACAUCAAUUUCUUUUGUUGUAAAAGGGUAUGAGGAAGGUGGCUUUCUUUUCGGAGAAAGUGUUUAUAGCCUUGUGCCUCUGCAAUCGGAGAGAUUGAGGUCUGCAGCGUAGAUCCUUCGGGGUUAGAUACAUCUGUGCUAAGUUAUAGCUUUUCAUAGACAACUUGUUGACUAUGUUUAGUCUUGUAGCUUACUCGCUAUACCUAUUUUACCUACGCUUAGGAUGUUGAACUCUAUCACACACAG
rnacentral:rRNA from 1 species